AUUCAUUAGCUCAGAGUAUCUGAAGCGUGAUCGCGGGCAGCUGGAAUACAGGCUGAGUCUCACACAACAUGCUUGAAAUUAUUUACCGCGUGAGGAAGAUAUAUUACUUGAUUGUUGCCGUUAUUGGUGUCCCUGCUACCUGGUCCUGUAUCGCCACAAGGAACAACUCAGUUUCUGGGAAGAGAUCUCCAACUUUUAGCCUGGCGUCAGACGCUUCUAGUUGACACCUGGUCUGCUCAGGUGGUGGGGAUCUCAUCCCUGGACAAUUAUGCUCAUCCAGGUUAACUCUUUCUUCUACAGCAGUGUUACCCAACCUAUUCUAGACCUUUUCGUGCCGCGAAACAAGUGGAAAUAUCGAACACCCUGGUUGCUAAUUUAUGCAUCCCCAACAACGUCUGUUAGGAUUCCAACAGAUUUGUCUGGGAAGAUUUCUACUGAGGAAAACCAUGCCGACUUUGGCCGUACAGGGGAGGAUUCAAAAGAACUGUCAUGGUGGGGAAUAAGAUGGCGGCACAACGCAGCGCACACGGCCUCUCUGGAGAAUGAUAUCUGUUACUUGUUAAGUACAGAUUUGUAUCUGUACAUUAAGUAUAAUAUUGUUGUGUAAUAAGUACCCUGAUUUGAUGGAGACAGACGUGAGAGCUUGCAGGAACAUCAGGAGAAACUUCUGAAAUGCCCGUUUCGCUGCCGCUGCGGUCCGGAAUCUUCGGAGGAGAAGGCCUCUGAGACCUCGGCUUUGCUUGUUUCGGUGGCCAGGACGAAGGCGCUCGGCAGAGGAUGGCACUCGGGAGACUGUAUCGCAGGCUCAAAGUUUUCGGAAGGACUCAGAGUCUGCUGUGGUCGAAUGCUUCCAAGGCAUCAGUUUGUCGGUGCCUGGGAGUUUAUGGCAGGGAGAGUUUCUCCCUUUUGCUGCCUGAUAUCGGGACUAUUAGAGUCAAUCGGGACUUGAGACUUUCUCUUAAACCGUGCCCAUGGUCUACUUUUAUCAAAUUAUGGUAUUGCUUUGCACUGCUGUAACGAUAUGUUAUAAUUAUGUGUUUUUUUUUGUCAGUGUGACUCUUUGGUUUGUCCUGUUUUUUGUGUGAUAUCACUCUGGAGGAACAUUGUAUUAUUUCAUAAUGCCCGCAUGCAUUUAUAAAUGACAAUAAAUGAGGACUGAGUGUCCUCAUAAUCUAAUGGAACAGAAUCACUGGCAGGGUCCGGCUAGCCAGUGUUGACUCUCUACUGUACACUAGCUGUGUUACAAAUUCACUUAAGUACCAAAGACAGAGUUUAAAAUAAACUGAUUUAUUUGUCUCAGAUCCAGAAUAUUAAACUCCAGUCCCGUUAAAGGUGAAAGUGCAGCAGAAGAAACUCCUCCCAUGCCCAGAGACCAGUGUGCAGAACUGGAUGUGGUGAGCAAUAGUAAUUCAGCUCCAACAGUAACUCUCGAAAUUGCAUUCAGCAACAGUGAUAUUCAGCAACAAAUAUCCAGCAUGCAGCUUAUUGAAACUUUCUCCCCAGUAUGAACAAGGCAGUGUGUGACAAGUAUAAUAUGCUGUAAGGUUUCACUGCUGAUGUAAUGGUUUCUCUGUAGCAGCAAUGCUUGGUUAAGACCAGAGAAAACAGGGUUUUGUAGUGCAGGGCUAUCCAAUGAGAGAAACCUUCUUUCUUGUGAGUCUGGAAGAGAGAUUUUGUAGUCUUUUGCUGGGGAGAGAUGAGAAGACGUGAAUGGAGAGAGUGGGCCCUUUUCCUUUUUGCUUGUUUGUUUACUUUACUAACCCUAUCGUCAAAGUAAGAAUUAUAAAGCUCAAUUGGUUAAUCACAUAUUGUGUACUGUUUGUAAUUUCAGGGUACUGAUUUGUAACAGGGGACACAUCACACAGCAUCCACCCAAACGAGA